rnacentral:rRNA from 1 species
AACGAACGCUGGCGGCAUGCCUAACACAUGCAAGUCGAACGAGACCUUCGGGUCUAGUGGCGCACGGGUUCGUAACGCGUGGGAACCUGCCCUUAGGUUCGGAAUAACUCCCCGAAUGGGGUGCUAAUACCGGAUAAUGUCUUCGGACCAAAGAUUUAUCGCCUUUGGAUGGGCCCUCGUUGGAUUAGCUAGUUGUUAGGGUAAAAGCCUACCAAGGCGACGAUCCAUAGCUGGUCUGAGAGGAUGAUCAGCCACACUGGGACUGAGACACGGCCCAGACUCCUACGGGAGGCAGCAGUGGGGAAUAUUGGGCAAUGGGCGAAAGCCUGAUCCAGCAAUGCCGCGUGAGUGCUGAAGGCCUUAGGGUUGUAAAGCUCUUUUAACCGGGAUGAUAAUGACAGUACCGGGAGAAUAAGCUCCGGCUAACUCCGUG